rnacentral:rRNA from 1 species
UACGUAGGUGGCAAGCGUUGUCCGGAUUUACUGGGCGUAAAGAGCGCGCAGGCGGUCGUAUAAGUCGAAUGUGAAAGCCCCCGGCUCAACUGGGGAGGGUCACGCGAUACUGAUCGACUCGAAGGCAGGAGAGGGAAGUGGAAUUCCCGGUGUAGUGGUGAAAUGCGUAGAUAUCGGGAGGAACACCAGUGGCGAAGGCGACUUCCUGGCCUGUUCUUGACGCUGAGGCGCGAAAGCUAGGGGAGCAAACGGG